CUCGCAGCUCCCUGAGGCUCUGCAGUCAUGAGUGGUGGAGUGAAUCUCAAAGUCCUAUCUCAGAAUCAGAGUGACGCAGGCGUCGGCUCCGGUCUCCCUUUACCCCGAAGCAUGAUGCCACUGUCUAAGAUGGACCCGCACCAGCACGGCGGCCCCCGCGCUCCCCCGGGGCCGUUCCCGCAGGCCGCCAGAGGACGUCCGUCCUGCUCUCCGCUGUCUGUGUCCUCAGCUUCUGCAGAGCUGCUCGGAGGCGCAGCUUUAAACAAGCACCUGCUGCAGCAGAGAGCUGCUCCGUCCCCUCAUCGGGGCCCGGCAGCCACGGUCAGAACCGAUGGGACCCGCUCGGCCUACAGCAGCCCUCAGGUCCCGAAGAGGGACACGCCGUGCUCCAAAGACACCCUGGACCUCCGCUGCAGCGCCUUCACCCACAAGUCCUUACGGGACCUCCAGCUGAGACGAAACGUCAACCAGAACUGGACCUUUGGAAAGUACCGUCUGAGGAGCGUGGACAAUGCGGAUCACAACGCAGCGCGCAGGCUCUCGGCUAAUGCGCAGCAAGGCCAGGGGAGAGGGCGUCUGCUCUACAAUAAGGGAGCCAACGGGAAUGAGAUACCGGGGGUGCCUUCAGGGGCAGUGGGGAGUUUCCAGAAGGACACGAGAACCCUUUCCAACCGAGUGCUGGGAGCGUCUGACGUGGAGGCGCCCGGUGACAGAUCCCGGUCGUAUCAGGUGUCCAACAUGUCGCACAGAGCGAGAGUCAACAUGGCAGCUGUGGCUCCCUUCAGGUUCAGGUUACCGGUCCAUGAUGACACGGACGCUUCGCUGGAUGAUCUCAGCGACUGCUCCUCUGACUCCAUGGAGAUCUGCUGCGACGACGCUGGUGAGUUCUGUUGGUUUGGACGGUUUGUAAAGCGGUGAUUGACAGCUACAGUCGGUAAGAACUGGGGACACAAUGAAAAGACGCUACACUUUUCUAGCUCAGUUUCCUGUACUCGGUGCCAGCGUCUUGUGAAAGUGUUUUCCAGAACCGUGGAACGUUCCAAAGGAGUCAGACUGAGAUCAAAGUGCUCGGGGUUAAUGUCUCACGAGAGAUUUGUUUAAACGUCCCUGUGUUCUACGUCCUGGAGAAAAGCAAACAGAGAAACGUGAUGUCAGGCUCCACAUGCAAGAAUAAACAUCUUGCAAACAAGCUUUUAUGUGGUUUC
rnacentral:lncRNA from 1 species